ensembl:lncRNA
AUGAUUCAGUUACUGUUGGAGGAGCACAGCCAUUCCAUGAUGCUGAAAUACAUUGACUACCUACCAACCUUUUGUUACCACCAUACAAUCCACACUUCAAUGGGGCCUUUAUUUUUAUUUUUUGAUGAGGAGGAGGAGGAGGAAGAGGAGGGAUGAAGCAGGUGGGAGGGCCAGAUGAGGAGACUGAUAGUUGAGGUGACUGAAGAGCCAUCAUGUGAAGAGGGGCAGCUACAGCUCUUUGAGAGUGACUCUGGGGAGGAGGAGUCUUCCUACAGACACAUAGGUGUUGUGAGGUUAGACUGGGUUGGACAGACUGGGUCCCACUCAGACAGACAGAUAUCUGAGCUGUCUGGUCUCAGCUCUGUGGUUCUGCUCACACAGCCAAACUCACACAACCACUCUGGUAUAGUUGUCCAGAUGCUCAGCUCACCUGUCUGUCACCUGACGUCCCUAUAGAGCCCCACCCACUCUCAUGAGACUAGAUGCACUCUUCACCCACCUGGCUAAGAUCUAACGAUGGGCUCUUCCCUGUUUACAUGAGGUGCGCUCAGUUCACUUGAACAUUUGCUACAUUGCGGAACGGUUUGUACUGAAAAAAACGUUUCCCCAAAACAUUCUUGUACGUUCUUGAACAGACUUCUAGGUACGUUUCCUCCCGUUUGGGCGGGUGUGGCUUGAAGCAAUGAGUGACGUAUUUAAAGGGCAGUGGCCAUGCUGACAGCAGUCAUUCAGUACAGCACUGUUUCUGUUCAAUGGAAUGUUCCAGAACGUAAAAAUGUACUGAACCCAGUCCUGGCUUGCUCCCCCGUUCUCACCAACCUGCUUCUAAUUGGUUCACUCUCCUGUCUCCGCCUGCUUUGCUUACCUGAGCUUUUCACCUGAUUAGUUCCUUUGUAUCAACAGUCCUUUCUCUGAUUGGUUCACCUGACUGGCUCCUCCCUGUUUACCUGAUUGGCCCCACCCUGCUGACCCCCGGCUGGCUGUGAUUGGCCCCCUUGCCUGGCAGGCUCCACCCUACUGACAGUCAAACACAGCAGCUUCGCAGUGCUUCUUUUACUAUUUUGUUUUUUGUUGUUUUCUCUUUGUCAGAGAUAGCCUGCUCUCUUUCCACAUAUUUAAUGAAGUGCCGUACAGUUACAGCUUUAGUUCACAUUUACAUAUGCGUUAACAGCUAACCUACUUCAGAGGAAGUUCCUUUGCUGUGUCUCUAAAAGUGAAGUUGUGCUACUUAUUUUAUUUAUUUUUAUGUGUUGAGUGUGUUUCAUUUGCAGUGCUAGACCAUGGCUAUGAGUGCUUUGUGCAAAGUGAAUCAUAACAAGGAAGAGCUCUUAUCUGAAUAAAAUAGCCACUAGAGCUCUUAUCUGACCAAUGGGCAGCCACGGGCCUUGCCUCGACUACUGAAGGUUUCCUUGUGCCGUUAAUGUGCAGUCUGGCAUGGCCUUAUGGGCAGGGCCCUGUACUGGGGGUGUCGCAGGGACUUUGGGCUUAGGGCUGCCAUCUGUGUAUCUCUCCUGUUACCUCAGUUGAACCAGAUGCAGUCAGAACUCCAAUCUAUGCAGACGUCAGAACUAAUAAUGCCACUUUGAAUCCAGUCAUGAGUCAAGGGCACCAAUCAAAAAGUGUUUAGAUGUAUUAAAGCAGCAUGAGUACCAAUCAGAAUGGUCUAUUCAGACCAUACACCAAUCAGAUUCCGUUGUUAUAAUGUGUUUCUCAGAAUGAUAUGCACCUAUGCACCUCCUCCUCCCCUGUUGCAGGGAUACUUCUAAUGGUGCUUUAGAUCACUGGUUCUCACAGAACAUGGUGUCCAGCCAGAGAAACAGCUGAGAGACAUGGACAUUGUACAUCCAUGUCAUACAAUAGGGAGUUGAUCCCAAAACCUGGUGUGCUUAUAUACGGUAGAAGACUGUGUUGUACAUAGAAUCAGCUGGAGAGACUCUGAGGAAAUGGUGCAAGGAGGCUAUAGAUUUUAUAUGUUUGAUGCCAUCCAUGGACACCCAUGAGAUUUCCUGCCAUACCUUUACAGCCGUCUCUCCUGCUCAUUGACUCCCUCCUACCUCCUCCUCAUCUUCUUCAUCCCCCCCUUUCUUCUUCUCUUCCAGCAGCCUGUGCUAACCCAAAUCCAAACCGAGUGACUCAUUUUGUCCUCAACAAGGAGGCCUGUGCCUCAUUCAUAUUGUAUACACAUAUACAGACACAUAUAUAUAUAUAUACACACACACACACACAUACAUAUAUAUAUAUAUAUAUAUAUAUAGAUAUAUGAGAGAGAGAGAGACCGAAACAUCUAUGAAGUGUGUCUAUGUGAGUUCAGAAUUCUGUCAAUAACAAAACAUAUUGAGCAUUAAAACAAGCUUUUUUUUUUUUUUUUUUUUUUUUUUUUUUUACUGGCCAAAGGAUAGUGUGGAGUGACUUAUGUGACUUUCCUCUGUUUUGUACAUUACAAGAAAAAACUCCUUAUCAGAAAGCACUCAACUGUCACAUAUGUCACCACAUCUGGGUACACCAGGACAACAGAAUUGAAGAUGACAACAAACAAAACACACAACACAGAGACUGGCUGGACAAUGCAUAUGCAAUGACGAAGUCACUCCAAAUCUCCACUUUAACAAAGGUAGUGAUAGUCCUCACUCACAAGUGCAAGUUUCUAUCCGCUGUGCUGCAGAAAAUAAUUUCUUUGAUACUUUAGUGAGCUGCAAAAAUAGGAUGUAUUCCCCUCUGUACAGAGAGACUUCCCUGUCUGUGGUUCUCACAAAGGAUAGUCUGGCCUAAGAAACCUUGAGACACAGGCCAAAGGAAAGGAGUGAGAAAAUGAUUCCAUUCUCAUUUAGAUGAGCUAAUGUUACAGUGUGCGAAAUCUAUUUUGAGACUCUCUCACAUACACACACGUGCACGUUCUCUUUCACACACACACACACACACACACACACACACACACACACACACACACACACACACACACACACACACACACACACACACACACACACACACACACACACCAUUGGGUUAGAGUGAGACCUGAGUCUCUGUACUGAGGGGAAUUUGCUAUGUCGGAUUAAGUGAUAUGACAUGCUAUUCUAUAGAAUAAUUUCUCUGUAAUUAAUAUUACCUGAUUAAACUAAUCAUGUAAAUGUAAUUAGCUAGAAAGUCGGGGAAAUAAUGUUUAUAGAGCUGUUAUCUUCUGAAUACACUCUUAACUUCUUAGUGAUCCCUUCGCGCGCCAAUCCCGUUUACGGGAUUGAUUUGACAACACCCAGUGAAAUUGCAGCGCGCCAAAUUCAAAAACAGAAAUACUCAUAAUAAUAAUUCAUAAAUCAUACAAGUGUUAACAAUAGGUUUAAAGAUGAACUUCUUGUUAAUCCAGCCACAGUGUCAGAUUUCAAAAAGGCUUUACAGCAAAAGCAAACCAUGCUAUUAUCUGAGGACAGCGCCCAGCAUACCAACACAUGAAAAUCAUAAUUCAACCCGCCAGGCGCGACACAAAAGUCAGAAAUAACUAUUUAAUUCAUGCCUUACCUUUGUAAUUAUUCUUCUGUUGGCACUCCAAUAUGUCCAUUAAAUAUCACAAAUGGUCCUUUUGUUCGAUAAAUUGUCGUUAUAUCCCCAAAAUGUCCAAUUAUUUGGCACGUUUCAUUCAGAAAAUACACCGGUUCCAACUCGCGUAACAUGACUACAAAGUAUCUAAUAAGUUACCUGUAAACGCUAUCCAAACAUUUCAAACAACUUUCCUAAUCCAACUUUAGGGAUUUCUUAACCUGUUGAACGUAGGGGGCAGUAUUUUGAUGUUUGAAUGAAAAACGUAUCCAAAUGAAACUACCUAUUUCUCAUGCCCAGAAUCUAGAAUAUGCAUAAAAUUAGAAAACACUCUAAAGUUUCCAAAACUGUCAAAAUAUUGUCUGUGAGUAUAACAGAACUGAUAUUACAGGCGAAAACCUGAGGAAAAUCCAACCCGGAAGUGUUGUUUUUCCUGAAAGCUCUCUGUUCCAUAGCCUGCCUUCGCUCCAUUUAAAGGGAUAUCAACCAGAUUCCUUUUCCUAUGGCUUCCCCAUGGUGUGAACAGUCUUUAGACAUAGUUUGAGGCUUUUAUUUUGAAAAAAUGAGCGAGAAAGAUCACAUCGCGUCAUUGGAUGGCUGGGUGCCAGCAGCGUUUUGCAUGUGCAAUAGCUUCUCUCUCUCUCCUAUUGAAGAAGCUACAGUCCGGUUGAAAUAUUAUCGGGUAUAUAUUGUAAAAACAUAUAUAUAUAUAAAAAAC